ensembl:misc_RNA Metazoa_SRP Metazoan signal recognition particle RNA
GCAUGGUGGUGGCACCUAUAAUCCCAGCUCCUAGAGAGGCUGAGGCACGAGGAUUGCUUGAGCCCAGGAGUUCUGGGCUGUAGAGCACAAUGCUGAUCAGGUAUCCUCACUAAAUCUGACAUCAAUAUGGUGAUAUUACAGUAGCUGGCCCAAUUUGAAAACACAGCAGGUCAAACUCCCAUGCUGAUCAGUAGUGGAACUGCACCUGCGAUAGCCACUACGCUCCAGCCUGGGCAACAGGACAAGACCCCAUCUCUU